AUAAUUUUCUAAGCACCUCAUUUGGUUUGGAAUUAAGAGGUGGAAUAACUCUUUAACCUCGAAGUUAUUUCUAAACACUAAAUUUGGGUUAGCUAACCCUACCCCACCCCAUUACUUCAAUCAAACAAAAUAUUAUUUUACCCACUAUCCUUCUUAUUCCACCUAUUCUAACCAAACACUAUUUUAUCUAUAACUGGACUAAACCCAAUUCUCAACCAAACACGAAAUUACUCUAACCCCACUUUAAUCCUAAACUUAAUUCUAUCUCUGAAAUAACAAAUUUUUACUUAAUCCCGAACCAAACGGUGGCUUAAGGAGAAGACCAUCUUAUAAUACUUAGCUAAAUUU
rnacentral:lncRNA from 1 species